UGCGGGCAACCCGAUCAUAUACUUCUGAAUUAAGUUUCCCAUUCAGAAAGUUCUUUAGAACUAUUCAACCUUGUCUGUAUAAAAAUAUAGCUACAGAAACAAGCUAGGAAUUUAUGUUGAAUAUUAUUUUCAUGGUGUUCUGAGGAAGAUCAAAGAAUGGAGAUUACCCAGUUGCCGGAAGAGUGCAUUUCCCUUAUAAUUUCCUUCACUUCCCCAAAAGAUGCUUGCAGGUCUUCUCUGGUUUGUCCUCUGUUCAGAUCAGCCAUGGAUUCCGAUAUGGUUUGGAGAAGGUUUCUUCCCCAUGACUAUCACCAAAUCCUUUCAAAUUCAGCUUUAGUUUCAUCCAUGGAUUCCCUUUCCAAGAAAGAUCUCUUUUUCCAUCUUUGUGACAAUCCCAUCAUCAUUAACAUUGAUAAAAACAUGAGCUUUAAAAUAGACAAAGAGAGUGGAAAAAAAUGUUACAUGUUAGCUGCAAGAAGGCUUUCAAUUAUUUGGGGAGAUACACCACCUUAUUGGGGGUGGACUUCUUUACCUGGAAUGUCUAGGUUCUCUGAAGUUGCUGAACUCUGGAGUGUGUGUUGGCUUGACAUCAAGGCAAGGAUUGAAACAAACAUGUUGUCGCCGAAAACAACUUAUGGAGCUUAUUUUGUGUAUCAACUUAAUGAAUACAGUGAUGGGUUUGAAGAAAAUCAGGUUGAGUUUCGAGUAUAUUUUGAAGGAGAAGGGGAUGUCAAUGGACAUGGGGGUAGCCGUAGUGUGUUCUUAGAUCCUCUGGAAGAUGAGCAGCAACUAUGUCGAGAUAGAGGAGAUGGAUGGAUUGAGGUGGAAAUGGGUGAGUUUUACAAUGAUGAUGGCGAGGAUCAUCGGGUGGUGGUAUGCAGUCUAAUGGAGACUGAUGACUAUAGAAGUAAGAGUGGACUGGUUGUUGAAGGAAUUGAGUUUAGGCCUAAAUCUGGUAUAUAGAAAUAUAGUUAUGUCUUUCUAACUUGUUUCUGUCACUUUUUUUAGUCCUAUAUUAUACCAGAAAAUAUAUGUUCUUGUAUUCCUCUUCAUUUUCUUAUACAGUUUCAAUAUUUCAUUCAAAAUUGUGUUCGAGCAAUUUUAUUCCAUAUAUGAGGGUUCUUUUUAUCCAUAAUUACUUAUUUAUAAUCCUAAUUUACUACUUGGCUGCUUAUACCGAAUUAGAAAACAUUUAAGUGUACAGAGGACAAACUGCUUAUCGGAUUGAUAUGUUGAAACACACUUUCUUCAGAAUUUGAAGUUUGAGAAUAUGAUUUUACACUAUUUAAACCAUACUAUAUGUCCCAAAACACUGUUAUUUUUGUUAUUUCUUAAGGGCUUAAUCAGUGGUUUCACCUUCGACUUCUGCAUUGUUUGUUUCUUCAGAUGAAUUAGGCUUUCUGCCAUAGACAUAAACAAUUAUUCCUAGUAACAUCUGGCAUUUCCAUGGAAGGAAAUUGUUCUAGUACAGCUUGAUGAUGCUACUGUGACAAUGAAGCCUUUGUCUUUCUACCAUCUAAGACUAGGUUUGAUACCAAGAAAGGAAAAACAGAGAGAACAGAGAGCUUAGAAUGUGUUUCAGCAGAAAAGAAUAAAUCUUUAUUUGGUACUGAUACAGUUUAGCUGCUUGCAUAAUGUGAAACACAAUUGGAAGAGUAGCUAACAAGGAAUUCUAUAAGCCUCAUGUUUUCACCUUGCUUAAUAUAAUAAUUUUUUUUUUAACCCAUACUAAUUUCUUCUGUUAGGUUAUUCAUACUUUGUAGUUAUUAAUUCUUCAACCAUGUGCCCUAAGCAAAAAAUAUUAAACCAGUCACUGAAAUAUGAAAAAAUACCCUAAGAAAAAAAUUAAACCAGUCAUUGAAAUAUGAAACAAUCAUAAUAAUCAUAAUAUUAAACAUCUUUAAGAUAUGUUUUUAAAUUUCUUGGUUCAUAAUGAGGAGGUUCACCUGCUUACUGGCUGUUAUUAAGGAAAAGUUCAUAUGUUAUUCAUAUAAGCAAUCAAUUUAAAUACUAAUCAGUCAAUGCUAUCAAACUUAAAGAAAAAAAUAUAAGAUUAAACAAUUUAACAUUAUGUUGUAACAGCUAGUUUAAUAGAGCAAAAUGACCGUUUAAAAAAAAAAAAAAAAAAAAAGUAGAGGGUGAGUUGAAACUUAGCUAAAGUUCUAAGAAUAUUUUGUAAUUUUCCCUAUUAUAUACUGUUACGUACAACCCAGUCAGCCAGCAAAAGUCAAUGCUAACAACCAGAACAUGUACUUGUGCAUUAAGUUUCUUCUCAGAAAGUGUUUCGAUUAUUCUACCUUGUCUAUAUGUAUCUGUCUAUCUGUAUGAUAGACAAAUAUAGCUGUAGGAACAACUAGGAAUUUAUAUUCAAUAUUAUCAUCUGAGGAAGGAAAUCAGAAAAUGGAGAUUACCAAGUUGCCGAAAGCGUGCAUUUCCCAUAUAAUUUCUCUUACAUCUCCAUGAGAUGCCUGCAGAUCGUCUCUGGUUUGUCCUCUGUUUAGAUCCGCCAUUGAUUCCGAUGUGGUUUGGAGAAAGUUUCUUCCCCUUGAUUAUCACCAAAUCCUUCCAUAUUCACAUUCAGCUUUAGCUUCAUACAUGGAUUCCCUUUCUAUGAAGCAACUCUUUUUCUAUCUUUCUGACCACACCAUCAUCACUCAGUGACAACAACAUGGUAAGCCAAAAUCUUGAAUUUCUUAUUAUAUUUCGCUUUUGAAUCAUCAGUUUGUUUUUGAAAUUAUCAGUUUAUUCUCAAUUUUCUAAAGUCCAUCUGUUGAAAACAAGUAGAAUUUGUUAAUAAGUGAAUUUUACAAAUCAAUAAUAACUUCAGGUAAUCAUGUCAAAGAUGAAUGCAGCAAUCAAGUACUCUUGCACUAACAAGUUGCAAAUCAGGACUACAUGAUAUUAUAUAUAUAUAUAUAUAUAUAUAUAUUGUACAGGACAUCCAUAACUCAUAUCCUUAUUUAUUGAAAUAUGAACACAGCUUUAAAAUAGACAAAGAAAGUGGAAAAAAAAAAUGCUAUGAUAGGUGCAAGAAGGCUUUCAAUCGGUUGGUUAGAUACACCAGCUUAUUGGCAGUGUAUAUCUUGACAUGCAGAUUCUAGGUAUGUUCUCUCAUCUGUCCUAUAUCUUAUCUGUGCUCAAAUAUUGUUAAUACAUUUUGAAAUGAGGCUAGCUAGCUAUUUCUUUGAUGAUGCGAAAUUUUAUUUCGAUAAUAGAAUAGAAAUUUUCAUGUACGUAACUAAUGGUAAAAACAGGACAGUAAAAAUGAAAAAGAGUAGGCAAGAUGUAACAAAUAUCUAUAUGGAAUAAGGUAAAAGAGCAGCUAAGAUUUCUACAUGAGUUUUAAAGAUAUGCAAUCAGCUUAAAGCUUUGCAGUGGAUGUGCUUUUGUAUGUAUGUAUUUAUGUAUUAACAUAUGGAUAUGUUAAUUCGAUCCCCAUGGCCUGCCAGCUGCUCUAGAGUGGCUGAACUAAGGCAUGUAUGGUGGUUAGACAUCAAGGGAAGGAUCAAAACAAACAUUCUGUUGCCAAAAUCAACUUAUGGAGCUUAUUUUGUGUAUAAACUCAACAAACGUAGCUGGGCAUCUAAGAAAAUACCAGUUGAGUCGAGAGUAUAUUUUGAAGGAGAAGAGGAGUUCCAUGAACACGAGGGUGGGCAUAAAGUGUUCUUAGACCCUUCAGGAGAUGAGCAGGAACUAUGUAAAGUUAGAGAAGAUGGUUGGUUGGAGGUGGAAAUUGGUGAGUUCUUCAAUGAUGGCAGAGAGGAUAAGCGGGUGGUGGUAUGCAGUCUAAUGGAGACUGAUGAGUAUAUCACUAAGAGUGUACUGGUUGUUGAAGGAAUUGAGUAUAGGCCUAAAUCUGGUAAAUAGAAAUAUAUUUUUGCCUUUCCACUUGUUUUCUGUCACUUCUUUAUAGUCCUAUACCAUACCAGAAAUUAUUUGUUGUCCUAUUUCAUCUUAUUAUACAGUUUCAAUGUUUCAUUCAUAGUUGUGUUCAAGAAAAUUCUUUUUUACUUCUGUGGAUGAUCAUCACCUUUAUACCCUAGCUCUCACUAGAUAUCUUUUGUGGAGAAGUGCAAAGCUUUUAAAAAACAGAAACCCACCACACUACAAAUCUUGGAGGAUUCAUAAUUAUGAAUGGUGAUCUUCAUUUUUAGGCAUUAAUCAAAUAAUUAUAUGUUGAAAGACCUUUUAUUUAGUGUUUGAAGUUGAGAAUGAUAUUACAGUAUUUUGCAUUGAGAUUGCAGUGGCAGAUGUAUAUUUUCAAGAAUACUGUGUAUACUUGUUAAGAUGUUUUUAAACCAAACAAUAUGUCCCAAAACAUUUUUAUUUUGCUCUUGCUUAGGGGCUUAAACAGAAGUUGUACAUUUGAAUUCUCUGGUGCCUGUUUCUUCAAAUGAAUUAGGCUUUCUUCCAUUGAUGAAAUUUUUUUUGAUAUUAUGAACCAUGAAUUGCUCGUGAAUAUCUACAAUUUCCAUAGAAGGAAAUUGUUCUCGUUCACCCUUGCAAAUGGCUAGUUUUGAUAUCAAAAGAAAGGACAAACAGAGAGAAAACAGAUUGAUUAGAAUGUGUUGUAGCAGAAAAAGUAUGGAUCUCUAGUUAGUAUGUAUCUAUACAGUUUAGCACACACAAUUUAUCAAACACAAUUUGAAGAUUAGCUAACAAGGAAAGCCUUGAAGCUCUUACGUACUUUGACUUGGAGAUUCAACUUCAAGAUAUACCUAUUUUGUUCCUCGUUAAUGAUUUUUUUUUUUUUUUUUUUUUUUUUUAUAACCUUGCUCAAUAUGAUCAUGAUUUUAUAUGUUUAUUAUUUUUCUCAUUGAGCUGGCCCAAUUUUAUAGCAACCCUUCUUAAUUUCUUUUUGUUAGUCGUUUAUACUUUGUAGUUAAUAAUUCUUCAAAACCCUAAACAAAAAAUUAAACCAGAAUAGGAACAUUAGGAGGCUGGUUUCCCACAUGUUUAAGAUAUGUUUUUUUAAUUCUUGGUUCAAUGUACUUAUACAUACGUACGUACGUACAUACAUACAUACAUAUGCAUAUUAUAAAUUAGUAACAUACAAAACAAAGGCUAAAUCGUUCUUCAUAUUCAAAUCAAUAGUGAUUCCUUCAGCUUGUCAGCACUAGACCACUCCUGUCAAUUUAUCCACUAGGCUUGUAAACGCUUUAUAAAUUUGACAAUUCAAGGAAGAUGGAGAUUUGAGACAAGUCUUGUAAUAUCGCUAGUUAUGUACAGUCGAAGUUGCAAGGAAACAAGAAAUUUCUUCAUUAGUUGCUAGCACACGAAAAUCAACUAAAUUAAUAUGGGUCACAUAAUGCGACUUCAGUUUGCUCGAAUCUGGUUUAACCAUGGAAGGCAAACUUUCUUUCCUGGAAUCUAUAUAUACUGAUUCAGUAUUUUUGAGCUGAUGCAUCUUAUCUUUUUUUUGUGAUCAUGUUACUAAGAUAAUUAAUGAUGAUGUUACUAAAGAGACUUGCAGUAGAUAAAAAAAAAAAGUGGGAAAAUAUGCUAUAUGAUAGGGGCAAAAGGGCUUGAAAUUGUACAUGAAGAAAAGCCAGAGCAUUGGCAACGGAAAUCUCUACCAGAGUCUAGGUAUAUAUAUUCUCUCACUCCUAUUGAUCUUAUUUGUUCAAAAUUUCUAAAACAUUAUGUUUCUAUUAUUAAUAUCUGAAUUUUAUAAAAUUCGAAUAAUCAUAUCUGAAAAUUUUCCAAUAUACAUAUAUAUUAUUAUUUAUAAUAAUUUCCUAUCUAAUAUCUUGAAUCUCCUAUUUCUCGUGCAAUAUCUCAAACCUUCUUAGGCAUGAGUAUGAAAAGGCAUAUUGAAUCAAUUUCCUUUAACUUCUAACAUAUAUAUAUUUUGGAAAAGAAAAAUGUUACCGCGUUGAAAUUCACGAUGCGUUGUCAUACAUUUGAAGACUAUCUUUACCAAAUUGUCUUGUCCAGAAUGAAACAGAUGAUCACUCAAUAUUCAAUAAAAUAAUUGAUUGUAGAUGAACUUAUCAUCCCGUUUCCCAACUUUGACAAUGACGUUUCACCAUGACUUCACAUUUCACAUCAUCGGAAAUAAACUAAUUGAAUAAAUUAUAAAUUUAAAAACAUAGCUACACUUAAACCAUAUAAUUAAUUUAGAACAAACUAUUAAAUCAUAUAAUAUAUAAUUAUUUGCACCGUGCUCCUGAAUAAUACCACAUUUUUGCAAAUCGCCCCAGAAUUAGAAAAUUAGCAACGGCACCCUGAAUUUUCCAAAUACUGUUCUAUGAGAACAUUUGUUCCAUCUUAUUUUCAUUUUUAGAUUUUGACAUUUGAAAGAGUUGAAAAAUGUGUAAUAUAUUUAUUUUUUUUAAAAAAAAAAGAGAGAGAGAAAUAAAAUUACACAAUUGUCCUUACAGAGUAAUAUUUGGAAAUACUAGAGGUUUGCCGAUUUCAUAGCUUAGAGGCAAUUCGCAAUGAAUUAUAUAAUUCAAGAGGACAUGGGUACAAAUAAUCUUAGAGUAAAUUUAAAAAAAAAAAAAAUUUGUUUUUCUUGAAGACCGAACUUCAAACCAAUGUUUUUUGGUCACCAAAAGAAAAACAAAAACGAAAAAAAAGAAGCAACUACUAGUAAAAACAUUUUUUUUUUCUAAAAACAAAAACACAUAGUCCAAAUAAAAAUAAAAAUAAAAUAAAUAUCCAAAUGACAUGAAAUUAAUGACUCAUGAGAUAUAUUUACCCAAAAAAGAAAAAGAAAAGAAAAGGAAAAGAAAAAGAUUCAUGUGAUGUGAUAUAAUAAAUUUACAAUAUAAAACUUUAGCACCCAUUGGUCCACAAUCAGCCCAACUUUUCUCAUAUUCGGUGGAACUUCUAAUGAUAAUAUAUCGUAUUAUAUAUUAUAUAAUAUAAAGUGUGUAUAUAUAUGUAUUAUACAUUAUAUAUAUAAUAUAAAGUUUAUAUAUAUAAUUAUAUACGAUAUGAUAAUAUAUCGUACUAUAUAAUACAUAAUGGAGAGUUUAGCAGCCAUAGAGAGAGAGAGAGAGAGAGAGAGAGAAGCAAAGAGCAAGGGGAGGUUGGGGUAGCUAGCUAGGCAUGAGGGAUUUACCAGAAGGAUGUGUUUCUCACAUUUUAUCGCGCACAUCACCUCGUGAUGCGUGCAGAUGCUCUUUGGUGUCCUCCAAGUUCAGGUUAGCUGCAGAGUCAGACACUGUUUGGGAGAGUUUUCUGCCAUGGCAAUGGCCGGAUAUCAUUUCAAGGUCUGUUUCUCCGGUUCAGUUUUCUUCCAAGAAAGCUCUCUACUUUCAUCUCUGUCAAUCCCCUCUCUUGCUUGAUCAGGGUAAUAAGAGUCUUGCAUUGGAUAAAGUUAGUGGUAAAAUACGCUGUACGCUUGGAACCAAAGAAUUGUCCAUACUUUGGGAUGAUGAUCCUGUUGUUUGGAAUGGGAAUCUUCCUUUGUCAUAUUUAUUUCCCUUCGUAAUUCCUUUUAAGCCCAGACUCUUGAACGUUUCCGAUACCAAUGAUGUGUCGUACCUUCGAAUCCGAGCAAGGAUUCAAGCGAAGUUGUUGUCCCCAAACACAACUUAUGCGGCGUACCUUAUUUAUGUGCAUAGAUAUGGAGGGGUCAAGCACCCACCAAUGAGGGCGUCAGUAAGAUUGGUUGGGGAAGGAGAUGAAACUAAGGUUGAAGAAGUUGUAAACGAUGCUUACUUGUUAAGUACUACUGUGUUUAGACGUGAAGAUGAUGGAUACCAUUGCCAGAGUAGAGGUGAUGGGUGGAUGGAGAUCAAGAUGGGGGAGUUCUUUACCACUGAAGAUGAUAUGGAGGUGGAGAUAUUCUUAAGGGGUACAAAAGAAUAUACUGCUUUCAUGGUUUCUGGGCUUCUUGUACAUGGCAUCGAGCUUCGACCAAAAGGACCAAAAUGAAUCUUUAUAUGAAUUGGAAUAUUUCUUGCAAAAUCUUGUGUAACAGCGAAGGUUUAGAAGUCUUUAGAUUCACUUUGGUGGGCAGUUUUGCAUGCUGCUGAUGUUUCUAGUGGUUGAAAAUAACCCUUUUUCCUGUUACUAUCUGCAGAUGUCAUAUUGCUAAUAAGAUGAAUUAGAUAUAGUGUAUAAGAAAGAUGACAGUUUGUAUCAUAAACAUAAUGAAUUAGCAUGUGCUUUCAUUUGAAAGCCAUGCUUAUUAUGAUAUACUAUAUUAUAGUCAUAAAUUUGGUUAGAUAUAUUAAUAUAUAUCUUCCUUGUUUUUCACUUUUCUUCA